GACGAACGCUGGCGGCGUGCUUAACACAUGCAAGUCGAACGGCAAGGCCCUGCUUUCGUGGGGUGCUCGAGUGGCGAACGGGUGAGUAACACGUGAGUAACCUGCCCUAGACUUUGGGAUAACUUCAGGAAACUGGGGCUAAUACCGGAUAGGAGCUCCUGUUGCAUGGUGGGGGUUGGAAAGUUUCGGCGGUUGGGGAUGGACUCGCGGCUUAUCAGCUUGUUGGUGGGGUAGUGGCUUACCCAGGCUUUGACGGGUAGCCGGCCUGAGAGGGUGACCGGCCACAUUGGGACUGAGAUACGGCCCAGACUCCUACGGGGGGCAGCAGUGGGGAAUAUUGCACAAUGGGCGGAAGCCUGAUGCAGAAACGCCGCGUGCGGGAUGACGGCCUUCGGGUUGUAAACCGCUUUAGCCUGUGACGAAGCGUGAGUGACGGUAAUGGGUAAAGAAGCACCGGCUAACUACGUG
rnacentral:rRNA from 1 species